rnacentral:lncRNA from 1 species
UCCAGUUUGUUAGUUCGUCCGUUGUAGAAUAUCAUGAGAUUGGAUGCUGCCUACCCACAUUGAAGAUGGACCUUUCCCAAUUAAUCCAUCAGACUGGGAAAUACAGAAAGGAGAAUAAAAAGAAAAAGAAACGAAAAUCCACCCAGUCUCCCACACUAAUCUCUUCUGGAAACAUUCUCACAGACACACCCAAACAUAGUGCUUUACCAGGUUUUUAGGUACUCCUUCCAGUCAAAUCGACACCUAAAAUUAAUCUUUACAAGCCCAACCCUUGUCAACUGGCAUCCAUACACAUCUUCCUAAGCC